CGGGAGGCAGCAGUGGGGAAUAUUGCACAAUGGGCGCAAGCCUGAUGCAGCCAUGCCGCGUGUGUGAAGAAGGCCUUCGGGUUGUAAAGCACUUUCAGUCGUGAGGAAGGUAGUGUAGUUAAUAGCUGCAUUAUUUGACGUUAGCGACAGAAGAAGCACCGGCUAACUCCGUGCCAGCAGCCGCGGUAAUACGGAGGGUGCGAGCGUUAAUCGGAAUUACUGGGCGUAAAGCGCAUGCAGGUGGUUUGUUAAGUCAGAUGUGAAAGCCCGGGGCUCAACCUCGGAAUUGCAUUUGAAACUGGCAGACUAGAGUACUGUAGAGGGGGGUAGAAUUUCAGGUGUAGCGGUGAAAUGCGUAGAGAUCUGAAGGAAUACCGGUGGCGAAGGCGGCCCCCUGGACAGAUACUGACACUCAGAUGCGAAAGCGUGGGGAGCAAACAGGAUUAGAUACCCUGGUAGUCCACGCCGUAAACGAUGUCUACUUGGAGGUUGUGGCCUUGAGCCGUGGCUUUCGGAGCUAACGCGUUAAGUAGACCGCCUGGGGAGUACGGUCGCAAGAUUAAAACUCAAAUGAAUUGACGGGGGCCCGCACAAGCGGUGGAGCAUGUGGUUUAAUUCGAUGCAACGCGAAGAACCUUACCUACUCUUGACAUCCAGAGAACUUUCCAGAGAUGGAUUGGUGCCUUCGGGAACUCUGAGAC
rnacentral:rRNA from 1 species